rnacentral:rRNA from 1 species
UACAGAGGUCUCAAGCGUUGUUCGGAUUCAUUGGGCGUAAAGGGUGCGUAGGCGGCGCGGUAAGUCGGGUGUGAAAUCUUGGAGCUUAACUCCGAAACUGCAUUCGAUACUGCCGUGCUUGAGGACUGGAGAGGAGACUGGAAUUUACGGUGUAGCGGUGAAAUGCGUAGAUAUCCUAAGGAACACCGGUGGCGAAAGCGGCUCACUGGAUCUCUUCUGACGCUGAGGCACGAAAGCUAGGGUAGCAAACGGG